AACGAACGCUGGCGGCAGGCCUAACACAUGCAAGUCGAGCGCCCCGCAAGGGGAGCGGCGGACGGGUGAGUAACGCGUGGGAACGUACCCUUUGCUACGGAAUAGCCUCGGGAAACUGGGAGUAAUACCGUAUGUGCCCUUGGGGAAGAUUUAUCGGCAAAGGAUCGGCCCGCGUUGGAUUAGGUAGUUGGUGGGGUAAUGGCCUACCAAGCCGACGAUCCAUAGCUGGUUUGAGAGGAUGAUCAGCCACACUGGGACUGAGACAUGGCCCAGACUCCUACGGGAGGCAGCAGUGGGGAAUCUUAGACAAUGGGCGCAAGCCUGAUCUAGCCAUGCCGCGUGAGCGAUGAAGGCCUUAGGGUUGUAAAGCUCUUUCAGUGGGGAGAUAAUGACUGUACCCACAGAAGAAGACCCGGCUAACUCCGUG
rnacentral:rRNA from 1 species